CCAAUGUAUAAUAUUCUUCUUUAUUAUUUAUGAAGUUGUCAUCAUCAUCCUCUGACAUGAUCAAAUUAUUUCACUAACAUCAACAUUAUCAGGUUGCACGUCAUCCCUAAUCAGAGAAGAUAUGCUUUCAAUGUCGGCACUAUACUAUCCCAAGUCAUCUAUAUUCUAUUCUUCCUGAAAGAAAUUUUUAUCUGUUUCUAUCUCAAAAUGAACAUGUAUGUCAUAAACACCCCUUGAUGCAAUCCUUUGAACAACA
rnacentral:lncRNA from 1 species